rnacentral:rRNA from 1 species
UCCUACGGGGCGCAGCAGUCGGGAAUAUUGCGCAAUGGAGGAAACUCUGACGCAGUGACGCCGCGUGCAGGAAGAAGGUUUUCGGAUUGUAAACUGCUUUAGACAGGGAAGAAAAAAGACAGUACCUGUAGAAUAAGCUCCGGCUAACUACGUGCCAGCAGCCGCGGUAAUACGUAGGGAGCAAGCGUUAUCCGGAAUGAUUGGGCGUAAAGGGUGCGUAGGCGGCCUGCUAAGUCUGGAGUGAAAGGUACCGGCUCAACCGGUACAGGCUCUGGAAACUGGCGGGCUAGAGAGCAGGAGAGGGG